rnacentral:rRNA from 1 species
AACGUAGGAGACAAACGUUAUCCGGAGUUACUGGGCGUAAAGGGCGUGCAGGCGGUUUGUUAAGUUUGGCGUGAAAGCUCUCGGCUAAACCGGGAGAGGUCGUUGGAUACUGGCAAACUAGAGGACGGUAGAGGCGUGUGGAAUUCCGGGUGUAGUGGUGAAAUGCGUAGAGAUCCGGAGGAACACCAGUGGCGAAGGCGACACGCUGGGCCAUACCUGACGCUAAAGCGCGACAGCAUGGGGAGCAAACGGG